rnacentral:rRNA from 1 species
GACAGAGGUGCCGAGCGUUAGGCGGAAUCACUGGGCUUAAAGCGUGUGUAGGCGGAUCGUUAAGUACCUUGUGAAAUCCCCCGGCUCAACCGGGGAACUGCUGGGUAUACUGGCGAUCUUGAGCAAUCUAGGGGCAGAUGGAACAAGUGGUGGAGCGGUGAAAUGCGUAGAUAUCACUUGGAACGCCAAAGGUGAAAACAGUCUGCUGGGGAUUUGCUGACGCUGAGACACGAAGGCCAGGGGAGCGAACGGG